CCGACCUUAGCUCAGCUGGAAGAGCGCAAGACUGUAACGGAUAUACCAACUUUCAUCUUGAUGUCGCCUGUUCGAGCCAGGCAGGUCGGA